CUGCUUAGAGUUUCACUUAAAACCUCCAUGCAAUCUCAAAGAAAAGAAUAAAAAUGAAAUGUUCUGAUUCUAGUUAAGAUACAGUGGGUACACAUGCAGUUUUGUUACAUGGGAAUACUGCAUGAUGCUGAGGUUUGAAGUAUGGAUCCCAUCACACAGAUAUUUGGAUGCCCUCAUUUGGUCACUUCAUUGAAAUCAAGACAAGCAGCCUCAAAGUUCAUAGAAAACCAGCCCCAAAGAUUUUUGGGCAAGCUAUUUCUCAAAAGAGGAUCAAAAUGUUUGAAUUUGCACACAGAAUUUUUAGCAGUGUGAUUAAAACAAAUCAUCUAAACUCUCAAGUUUCAGUUUCUCAACUAUUUGUAAGUGGAAGCAGUCAUGCGUGUUCAUAUGUGUCCAUGAGUCACUCAUGCACACCCACAUAGAACAGGAAGUGGCUGCACAGGAAGCAUGACUGGGGAGGCUUCAGAAAACUUACAAUCAUGGCAAAAGGCAAAGAAGUAGGAGGCACGUCUUCACAUGUCCACAGCAGGAGGAAGAGAGAGAGAAAGUGGAGGUGCUACACACUUUUAAACAACCAGAUCUUGUGAGAACUCUAUCACAAAACAACAUCUGGGGAUGGUGCUAAACCAUUAGCAACCACCACCGUUAUCCAAUCACCUCCCACCGUGCCCCUCCUCCAACACUGGGAAUUCUGAUUUGAUGUGAGAUUUGGGUGGGAACACAAAUCCAAACCAUAUCAGCUAUGUAAUAAACCUAUACAUGUAACCCCCAGUUUAAAAUAAAAGUUAAAUCAAAAAUUGAAAAAA
rnacentral:lncRNA from 10 species